GCGCUAUUUGUUAUGAUUUAUAUAGGAAAUUCGCCUCACGCGCAGUGUCUGUUGAAGAAAACUGGCACUAGGACCUUAUGCGCAGGUCUUUGACUCCAGUUACCUCCAGAUUUGAAGUCUUCGUGAAAUUUGGCGCAUUUUGAUAGCAAAUUCGUGUUUAUUUAUGGCGAUUUAGGAAGGGCAAAAUGUGCGCAAAGAUGUGGGUUUUGCUUGUGUUUACAAGCUCAUUAAUAAUUCAAUUGAUCUCGGCUGUAGAAGAUGGCGAAGGGACGUUUUAGACUCAAUAUCUCCAUUAUAUGUC